rnacentral:lncRNA from 1 species
GCCGAGCGCGCGCGGAGCGGCGCAGCGCGAGCGGCGGGGCGAGCGGGGCCUGCGGAGGCCGAGCCCGGAGGGAGGGACCGUACGGCUUCGGUGCGAGCAACACCGCGGCGCUCCCGCUGCCGCCGGCGGGGGAGCCGGGCAAGAUGCAGCCAGGGUUUCUACUAGGAAACCGCUCAGCUGGGCCCUGCAGGGGCCGACGAAUGGUGAGAGUCACCUGGCUUUUAAGGCAUUUCAGAGACACCUACCCGUAGUCCCGCUCCUCA